rnacentral:rRNA from 1 species
AGGGCGCACGGUGGAUGCCUUGGCACUAGGAGCCGAUGAAGGACGGGACUAACACCGAUAUGCUUUGGGGAGCUGUAAGUAAGCUAUGAUCCAGAGAUUUCCGAAUGGGGGAACCCAAUAUCUUUUAUAGGAUAUUACUUUUCAGUGAAUACAUAGCUGAUUAGAGGUAGACGCAGAGAACUGAAACAUCUUAGUACCUGCAGGAAGAGAAAGAAAAUUCGAUUCCCUGAGUAGCGGCGAGCGAAACGGGAAGAGCCCAAACCAACAAGCUUGCUUGUUGGGGUUGUAGGACUCCAAUAUGGUAGUCUGUUAGUAUAGUUGAAGGAUUUGGAAAAUUCCGCUAAAGAGGGUGAAAGCCCCGUAGACGAAAUGCUAACAACACCUAGGAGGAUCCUGAGUACGGCGGAACACGAGAAAUUCCGUCGGAAUCCGCGGGGACCAUCCCGCAAGGCUAAAUACUCCCUAGUGACCGAUAGUGAACCAGUACCGUGAGGGAAAGGUGAAAAGCACCCCGGAAGGGGAGUGAAAUAGAUCCUGAAACCGUGUGCCUACAACAAGUCAAAGCUCGUUAAUGAGUGAUGGCGUGCCUUUUGUAGAAUGAACCGGCGAGUUACGAUUGCAUGCGAGGUUAAGUCGAAGAGACGGAGCCGCAGCGAAAGCGAGUCUGAAUAGGGCGAAUGAGUAUGUAGUCGUAGACCCGAAACCAUGUGAUCUACCCAUGUCCAGGUUGAAGGUGCGGUAAAACGCACUGGAGGACCGAACCCACGUACGUUGAAAAGUGCGGGGAUGAGGUGUGGGUAGCGGAGAAAUUCCAAACGAACUUGGAGAUAGCUGGUUCUCUCCGAAAUAGCUUUAGGGCUAGCCUCGGAAUUGAGAAUGAUGGAGGUAGAGCACUGUUUGGACUAGGGGCCCAUCUCGGGUUACCGAAUUCAGAUAAACUCCGAAUGCCAUUCAUUUAUAUCCGGGAGUCAGACUGCGAGUGAUAAGAUCCGUAGUCGAAAGGGAAACAGCCCAGACCACCAGCUAAGGUCCCAAAAUAUAUGUUAAGUGGAAAAGGAUGUGGCGUUGCCCAGACAACUAGGAUGUUGGCUUAGAAGCAGCCAUCAUUUAAAGAGUGCGUAAUAGCUCACUAGUCGAGUGACCCUGCGCCGAAAAUGUACCGGGGCUAAACAUAUUACCGAAGCUGUGGACUACACCAUUAGGUGUAGUGGUAGGAGAGCGUUCUAAGGGCGUUGAAGGUCGAUCGUGAGGACGGCUGGAGCGCUUAGAAGUGAGAAUGCCGGUAUGAGUAGCGAAAGACAGGUGAGAAUCCUGUCCACCGUAUGACUAAGGUUUCCUGGGGAAGGCUCGUCCGCCCAGGGUUAGUCGGGACCUAAGCCGAGGCCGAUAGGCGUAGGCGAUGGACAACAGGUUGAUAUUCCUGUACCAGUUGUUUUUGUUUGAGCAAUGGAGGGACGCAGUAGGCUAAGGAAUGCAUGCGAUUGGAAGUGCAUGUCCAAGCAAUGAGUCUUGAGUAGAGUUAAAUGCUUUACUCUUUAAGGACAAGUUGUGACGGGGAGCGAAAUAAUAGUAGCGAAGUUCCUGAUGUCACACUGCCAAGAAAAGCUUCUAGUGAGAAAACAACUGCCCGUACCGUAAACCGACACAGGUAGUCGAGGAGAGUAUCCUAAGGUGAGCGAGCGAACUCUCGUUAAGGAACUCGGCAAAAUGACCCCGUAACUUCGGGAGAAGGGGUGCUGACUUCGGUCAGCCGCAGUGAAUAGGCCCAAGCGACUGUUUAUCAAAAACACAGGUCUCUGCAAAAUCGUAAGAUGAAGUAUAGGGGCUGACGCCUGCCCGGUGCUGGAAGGUUAAGAGGAUGGGUUAGCUUCGGCGAAGCUCAGAAUUGAAGCCCCAGUAAACGGCGGCCGUAACUAUAACGGUCCUAAGGUAGCGAAAUUCCUUGUCGGGUAAGUUCCGACCCGCACGAAAGGCGUAACGAUUUGGGCACUGUCUCAACGAGAGACUCGGUGAAAUUUUAGUACCUGUGAAGAUGCAGGUUACCCGCGACAGGACGGAAAGACCCCAUGGAGCUUUACUGUAGUUUGAUAUUGAGUGUUUGUACCACAUGUACAGGAUAGGUAGGAGCCGAUGAGACCGGAACGCUAGUUUCGGAGGAGGCGCUGGUGGGAUACUACCCUUGUGUUAUGAACCCUCUAACCCGCACCACUAAUCGUGGUGGGAGACAGUGUCAGAUGGGCAGUUUGACUGGGGCGGUCGCCUCCUAAAAGGUAACGGAGGCGCCCAAAGGUUCCCUCAGAAUGGUUGGAAAUCAUUCGAAGAGUGUAAAGGCAGAAGGGAGCUUGACUGCGAGACCUACAAGUCGAGCAGGGACGAAAGUCGGGCUUAGUGAUCCGGUGGUUCCGCAUGGAAGGGCCAUCGCUCAACGGAUAAAAGCUACCCUGGGGAUAACAGGCUUAUCUCCCCCAAGAGUCCACAUCGACGGGGAGGUUUGGCACCUCGAUGUCGGCUCGUCGCAUCCUGGGGCUGUAGUCGGUCCCAAGGGUUGGGCUGUUCGCCCAUUAAAGCGGCACGCGAGCUGGGUUCAGAACGUCGUGAGACAGUUCGGUCCCUAUCCGUCGCGGGCGUUGGAAAUUUGAGAGGAGCUGUCCUUAGUACGAGAGGACCGGGAUGGACUUACCGCUGGUGUACCAGUUGUUCUGCCAAGGGCAUUGCUGGGUAGCUAUGUAGGGAAGGGAUAAACGCUGAAAGCAUCUAAGUGUGAAGCCCACCUCAAGAUGAGAUUUCCCAUUUCU